UACAGAGGUCUCAAGCGUUUGUUCGGGAUUCAUUGGGCGUAAAGGGUGCGUAGGUGGCGCGGUAAGUCGGGUGUGAAAUUUCGGAGCUUAACUCCGAAACUGCAUUCGAUACUGCGGUGCUUGAGGACUGGAGAGGAGACUGGAAUUCAUGGUGUAGCAGUGAAAUGCGUAGAGAUCAUGAGGAAGACCAGUGGCGAAGGCGGGUCUCUGGACAGUUCCUGACACUGAGACACGAAGGCCAGGGGAGCGAAACGGG
rnacentral:rRNA from 1 species